CCCUUAGAUGUUCUGGGCCGCACGCGCGCUACACUGAUGAAAUCAACGAGUUUAUCACCUUGGCCGGAAGGUCUGGGUAAUCUUUUGAAACUUCAUCGUGCUGGGGAUAGACCCUUGCAAUUUUUGGUCUUCAACGAGGAAUUCCUAGUAAGCGCAAGUCAUCAGCUUGCGUUGAUUACGUCCCUGCCCUUUGUACACACCGCCCGUCGCUACUACCGAUUGAAUGGCUUAGUGAGGCCUCCGGAUUGAUGCAUGGCAGCUGUUUCCGGCCGCCACGCGUUGAGAAGCUGGUCAAACUUGGUCAUUUAGAGGAAGUAAAANUCGUAACA
rnacentral:rRNA from 1 species